rnacentral:lncRNA from 1 species
GUGUCCCAGACAUUUUUGCUUUUGAAGUCUGUGAGCAGCACAUUAGGCAUAUGGUUCAUGAGCUUCCUUGUCCCAAACAACUGGAGCCUGAGGCAGGGAGAGACACAGAGAAGGAAGCACUGAGCAGAAAAACAGGGUCUCAGAACAGAUUAUGGUAAAGUGCAGGGGCAGGUAACUACAGUACAGUGGUUUCUGCAACAUGAAAGGUGUCCAAGUUCAUUUAAGUAUUAUAAGCCAGUUCAAGCCACUGCCUAUGAAACAAGACACUUGGAUUUAGAUGGAUGGGACUGGAACUGUUAUCAUAAAACUGGCUGCAAAGAUACCACCUGUAACGCUCGAAGAGUGAUGGGUGUGGAGUCAGGCACAGAGAGCAGAGGAUUCGGGAAAACGCGUUAUUGUCCGUAUAGUAACAGCGCACAAACGGGUCAACAACAAAAAAUUGUGCUAAUGGUGCAUUUCCUAUUCCAAAGAGAAAUCUGUUUCAGUAUAUCGGAAGAUGCCAUGUGUAAC